GACACAUGCUGCGGCCCAUAUCGUACCAUUUAUAAAGUUAGAUACGAUUAGGGUUUUUUACCGCCAUCUCAGUACCCAACAACUCUCCCUGCUACUGCUGCUGUAACAUCUUCCAGCGGAAGCGCCAUGGCUUCAGAGAAGAAAUUGAGCAACCCCAUG